CGCCCUACGGGAGGCAGCAGUGGGGAAUAUUGCGCAAUGGGGGAAACCCUGACGCAGCAACGCCGCGUGAAGGAAGACGGUUUUCGGAUUGUAAACUUCAGCAAGCAGGGAAGAAAAAAAUGACGGUACCUGAACAAAAGCCACGGCUAACUACGUGCCAGCAGCCGCGGUAAUACGUAGGUGGCAAGCGUUGUCCGGAUUUACUGGGUGUAAAGGGCGCGUAGGCGGGCUCGUAAGUCAGACGUGAAAUACCGGGGCUCAACCCCGGGGCUGCGUUUGAAACUGCGAGUCUUGAGUGCCGGAGG
rnacentral:rRNA from 1 species